UAUAUAUUUGACAUGUUCUUCAAUCCAUCAGUGUCAGUCCUGAAUCUAGAGGAGGUAUUCGUUCGUACUUGCAGCGAUUGGAAAAGAUUGCAGCUUACAGGGUUUGAAAGGUCAAGUUUGGGCCAAAGGGGCUUUUGCGGGAAAAUUAGGGCACAACUUAUCUACACGCAGUAUCCAAAUCCACCAUCCCUCCAGGAUUAUUGUUCUUCGUAAAGGUUUGUCGACCCUUUGCAUUGAGCUUUUUGAGCUUUAGGAUUGCGGAGUUUAUGUUUACCCUUGGGAUAGUUGCUCACUCACACUUAUAGCACCACAGAUUGAACACUUUGUGGUUGAAGACUGUAACUGGGUUAGACUUCACAAGACAAAUUGUUUAGAGAAUCUUUUCAUUGGUAACCAUAGGGUAAAAUUCCAAAUUUUCUCAUUUCAUUAGGAUGUUUGGAUGUGCGUUUAAACUCAUAAUGAUCAAUUUAUAUUUUGGUCUUAUUCCUUUUGCAGUGCUUACCAUGUUGGACUUUAUUAUUGAUAUGGUUCAGUUAAGUUGAAAUUAGAUGUCACAAUUAUACAUAAUUUCGUAAACAGUGGGACUUGAGAUAUCAUAAACUACUUCUGGAAGUGUGUAAAUUGGAGAAAAUCUCCACUUGAUUGUAGAUGCCUUGAUUCUUACAUUUCAUUGAGAACUUAGACACACAUUACAAACGAACUUUAUGUAUGAUAUUAAUUAGUUUGGCUUAAUAGUCUGUCAUUAUUUUUUACUUAAGAUUAUUUAAAUUGUAGUAGCUUUAAAACAAACAGGUUGGAGUCGAAACAUGCAAUCAGUUUGGGUAAGGUCAAAAUUGCUUUCUUUGUUCUUCUUCCUUUUCGUGAAUCUUCCUGCGCCAAAACCAAUCAGUAAGGUCAGCCAUAUCUAAUACUGUUGGAGCUGUUACUGUAAACCAUAUUUUAGUUCUGGUUUUGUUGUUUGCAAUCAUUCAACUUGAAGUUUGCUUUUAUUGCUAGAUAUAUGUUUUUUUUUCUUUUACAUGGGAUUAAGUAUAGAUGCUUUUAAGUAUGGGUUUAUACAUGUUUAUGUGGAUCUCUGAUUAGAAAUAGCAACUGAUUGGCUUCUUGGACAAAGAAUCUUUAUCAUGUAUGGCAAUGGAAGAUUGUCAAGGAUUGGGGAUUGUAAAUGAUCUUUUUAUUUAAAGGUUGGCUUCAAAAUGUUUUUAGAGGUUGCUGCAUCUCUACAUAUUCGUAAUAGGUUGGCUUCAAAAUGUCCUUCCAUAGGGACGAAGGUACAUUUGC